GGCAACAUGGUGUAAUGGUAACACUCCUUGAUUGAAUGCAGGAGAAACUUCCUCCGAUUGAGGUGCCAUGGGUUCGAUUCCCACUGUAGCCA